UCCCUUGUAUCUCAGUUGGUAAAGAAUCCGCCUGCAAUGCAGAAGGCUCUGGUUUGAUUCCUGGGUGGGGAA
rnacentral:tRNA from 1 species